CCGCUGGAGGUGCCUCGUGGACUGCAGCCCAGGGUCACUGAGGUGGCAGACAGCAACUUCACAGGGCACUCCACCCCACAGAUGAAGUCUUGCUCUGUUGAACAGGUUGGAGUACAGUGGUGUAAUCUCGGCUCUCUGCAACAUCCACCUCCCAGGUUCAAGCAAUUCUCCUGCCUCAGCCUCCUGAGUAGCUGGGAUUACAGGUCUCCCAGCUCCAUGUCCUCUAACCCACUGAACAAACGUGGAUGUGUCGCUUCCAGAGGCUAACAACUCCAAGAGUCAUCGCCAGAAGACAGUUACUUUCUAUGAUUUCUUUUAAACAAAUGAUAAUUUACAAGAUGUGUGAUUUUCUACCUCUAUCAUACAUUAGCAAGGUCUUUCCAGCCAGAAGGGCUACAUGUGGCAAAUGUUUUCUAUGAAAAGGCCGGGGUGGAGUUGAGAGCAGCUUUUUCAUAGUAUAUACACAGGCCUUCCAUAAACGUCCAGUAAAUCAUCCCAAA
rnacentral:lncRNA from 1 species